rnacentral:rRNA from 1 species
CAGUAGCCACGGGAAUACAGAGGGUGCAAGCGUUAAUCGGAAUUACUGGGCGUAAAGCGCGCGUAGGUGGUUUGUUAAGUUGGAUGUGAAAUCCCCGGGCUCAACCUGGGAACUGCAUCCAAAACUGGCAAGCUAGAGUAUUGUAGAGGGUGGUGGAAUUUCCUGUGUAGCGGUGAAAUGCGUAGAUAUAGGAAGGAACACCAGUGGCGAAGGCGACCACCUGGACUGAUACUGACACUGAGGUGCGAAAGCGUGGGGAGCAAACAGGAUUAGAUACCCCCGUAGUCCCUGUCUCUUAUAC